rnacentral:sRNA from 1 species
ACGGCAUGCCCUGCCGGACCGUUCGGACGGGGGCUUAUAACCGCACAUCCCGGAAAAGGCAAGCGGUCCGGAGGCCGCUCGCGCGUAAGCCUUGCCAAAAAGGAAAGCCGCCCCACGAACUCCUCCCGGGGCG